rnacentral:rRNA from 1 species
UACGUAGGUGGCAAGCGUUGUCCGGAAUUACUGGGUGUAAAGGGCGUGAAGGCGGGACUGCAAGUCAGAUGUGGAAUUCCCAGGCUCAACCUGGGGGCUGCAUCUGAAACUGUGGUUCUUGAGUGCUGGAGAGGAAAGCGGAAUUCCUAGUGUAGCGGUGAAAUGCGUAGAUAUUAGGAGGAACACCAGUGGCGAAGGCGGCUUUCUGGACAGUAACUGCCGCUGAGGCGAGAAAGCGUGGGGAGCAAACAGG